rnacentral:lncRNA from 1 species
GUCUGACAGUCAUGACCGCAGCAGCCGGGUGUGAGGGCAGGGCUGGGUAUUCGGAGACCUUCAGAAGCCUGGUCACGGAGGGCCUGCCCAGGGACCCCCCUGCCUCUCCCCCCAGGCCCCACGGCGGCAGAGACUCACAGGCAAAGAACUGCCAGGGCUGGUAGGUGCGGCCGAAGUCCAUGGACCGCUCCAGCACCCAGAGGUCCGGCCGGGCAGGUACGCCCGGGAACAGCUGGGUGCUGUUGGCCAGGUAGGCCUGGAAGCCUAGGGCCCCAAGGGGGAGAGUGGGGUCCCCCAGAGCUGCACAAGACCUACAGUCACCCCACUGGACUGAGCCGGACUGAGACUGCUGUGGGGUCCCCCAUGAAAAGACCACAGACCCCUCAUAGCUUCAGCCCUUGGGGGCACCAGCUGCCCAGACUCCAGGGGCCCUGGACAGCUGUCCUCGAGGGCCUGGUGGCUGCACAGAUGGUCACAGGAAGGGAAGCCCGCGCUGGAGGACUCCCAUCUGUCUCUGACCUGGUCGCGGCUCCCAGGGCCACACCGGCCGCCCUCGCCAUGACCCGGAGCGAGCGCAGACCCCUGGCUUCGGGACCGCCCUUCCCCCUCCACGCCCCGCUCAGCUCAGCUGCCAGUGCUGACCUUUCCGCUGCUACAUGGUUCUGUGCAGAAAGAAAAAAAAAAGUCUUUUAAAGCAAAAGCCAAACAAAAGCUGCCUGAGUUAUUUUUAAAAAUCGGCUAUUUUGGGGCAGGCACGUCUCCAGGACGGCAGCCGGACCCGCCUCUCAGCCACUGCACCCUCCAGUCCCCACUACCCAGCUUGCCCUGGGAGGGCCACGGUUCCCAGAGGAGGCCUCUGCCCGGUGACCACUGCCUCACAGGGGGUGGGCAAGAGCCCCAGGAGUACGGGGCCCAGGACCCAGGGCCCAGGCCGGCUCCAGGCUUCAGGGGUUGUGCGGCCCUGGAGCGGACACUUCCCCUUCCUGGGCACAGGGCAGUGGGAAGAGCUGCAGAGAGGGGCAUCAGGAUAAAAUGCCUUUCAUGAGGGCAUGAAGGUUUGAGCGCCCUGGGAGGGAGGACGCCAGCUGCUCCUGGAGGGCAGCAGCCACCCCGCAGAGACGCUGAGAGGCCCCCACUGGAGCUGCCCCACUCACUGGCGCUCCGAAGGCAAAGCUGCGGAGGGGACUGAG